CUCUGAGAGACUUUACUUCUCCACUCUGAUCAUGAUUUUAUUCAUUUAUAAAGGCAAGUUAGGUACAAUGUUAAUGCAUAUCUGCAGUUUAUCUUUCAGAUACAGAGCCUGGAAAGUGUCCGCUGAAUAGAAGAUGACGCUUCUCCAACAGUCGGGACCUUUUCGGUAUCUUGGAUACUUCCGAGACCAAACUCAGGUCGCAGAGAGCUGCACCUCGACUGUGUGCUCCUCGGAGAAAAGAUGGUUAGAUAUUAAUCAGAAAGAAAGAAAUCAUCACUGCCCUUGGAGGAGGCGGAGCUAGUUGGUGGUGUCGUCCUGGAUGUGGGCGUGGCUCUUCUGCUGCAGGGGUAUGGCCGAGGGGCCCGGGGUGGCGGCGACUACGGCGGUGGU